CUCCCCCCCCCCUCCCCUGCCAAUCCGCUCCUCACCGAUUGAUCAGCUCCAGGCGAACCUGUUCGGCGUCCGCAUUGGCAGAGUUGCUGCGGUACGCCAUGGAGCAGGAAAGGGGCUCCACUGAAAACAAAUAACCAGCCGUGUGGAUGAAGCGCUGUUGCAGCUGUUGAAACACGAAGUAUAGUUGCGCCUAUCAUCCACGUCGACCCACGCGGGAGUGCGCUACUCUUUGUGUUGAUGCCAUCUGUGGUGUGACGCGUGUGCGCGUGCUCGUUUUGGCGUCAUGUUAGAGUUUGUCGUCACCACUCGGCCGUCGCGCCGCAUUGUGUGCCGCAACGAGGCAACGUACAUCUACUUUUGGCCCUACCUCUUCUGUCGCGAAGUCCCGGGUGCCCUGCAGUUGUGUCGGUGGGCUGCACGUCGUGGUGCAGCCGUGCACGGUGCCGUCCGGCUGCAGCCCAGCGAGACCCCCAACGCAGCGCAUCGAUGCUAUCUGAAAGUAACACGCCCUGUCGCCGCAGGCCGCACGCUCAUUUCGCUUCCGGCAGCGCUUUCUCUGAGUGUCAGCUCUCCAGAGUCGCGCAAAGGCACCUUCAUCGGACGCUACAGCGCCCUUGAGAACUUUGCGCAGCUCCUCGCCCGUGAGCUGCACAACCCGCGCAGCCCUCAUCGCGCCUAUCUCGAGUUUCUGCAUGACCUGCACAACUCGGGGACGGAAGAGGUAUCGGACGCGCUUCUUGCCGGGCUCCACUACGAGCGUGCUGCGGUACUGGUUGAUCAACUAGAUGCCAUGUACGCCGGGAACUCGCUGCAAGCACGCGGGGCUGCCAACGCGCCGUUCCUGGACAAGGAGCAGCUGACCUCAGCAAGUCAGCGCGUGGAGUGGGUGCGGCUGCAACAGCUGCAGCGUCGCCUUGAGCAAGGCGUGCCCCACUUUGCCGCCAAAUCAACAGCCUGGGCGUUGUCCAUGGCGCUGAGUCGCGCAAUGGAGGACGACGCGGAGGGGCUCAGCCUUUAUCCGCUGAUCGACUUUUGCGCCCAUAGCUUUGAGCCGAGCGCAUACGUCUGUGUAGGCGAAGAGCGCGUUGCAGCCGUGCGACCGGUUCGCUGGGCAGAUUCGAGCGGAGAGCCCCUUGUGCACGUCGUGACGCGACGUUUGCUGCGCGCAGGCGAAAAGGUUACCCUGCGGUGGCAUUGGCGGCCUGUCAAGACGACGGAGGAUGCGGAGUUUUGGCAGAUGCGCUUCGGCUACGUUCCGCUGUCAGAGUAGCCGCACGAUGGGGUUCGUGCGCAGGUCUCUGCACGCAUACGUUCACACGUGCGAUGGCGCCGUACGUGGCCUGUGCGCUCGUGCCUGACUCACUGUCGUGUACUGCCUACCUUCAUCACAGGUCCUCUCAACGAACGAAAAGCAGCCAUGGAAACAGAGAGGGGAGCAGCCACAAACGACAAGGAAAAACAUGGCCCAGCACUUGCAGGAAGACACGACCUGUGUGUGUGCGCGCGCGUGUGCGUGCCUGUGCUUCUUUUCCCAAGCGUCGGGCGAGUGAGCAGCACCAGAAACGCCUGAGUCGAUGCAUCUGAUGUCGCCUACUUCUCUCAUCGUCCCUCUCCCUCCUUCGUCACUUGUGCAUGUCGCCGUCGCCUUUCGUUUUGUUCUUAUUUUCCGAGCGGUGUAUGUGUGCCUGCAUCUGUGUGUGUGUUGUUCGCUGUGUGCACCGACGGAUGGCCGCCGGCCUCCUCCCUUGUUGAGCACAAG
rnacentral:misc_RNA from 1 species